rnacentral:rRNA from 1 species
GGACGAACGCUGGCGGCGUGCUUAACACAUGCAAGUCGAACGAUGAAGCCCUUCGGGGUGGAUUAGUGGCGAACGGGUGAGUAACACGUGGGCAAUCUGCCCUUCACUCUGGGACAAGCCCUGGAAACGGGGUCUAAUACCGGAUACCACUUCGUCCCGCAUGGGACGGGGUUGAAAGCUCCGGCGGUGAAGGAUGAGCCCGCGGCCUAUCAGCUUGUUGGUGGGGUGAUGGCCUACCAAGGCGACGACGGGUAGCCGGCCUGAGAGGGCGACCGGCCACACUGGGACUGAGACACGGCCCAGACUCCUACGGGAGGCAGCAGUGGGGAAUAUUGCACAAUGGGCGAAAGCCUGAUGCAGCGACGCCGCGUGAGGGAUGACGGCCUUCGGGUUGUAAACCUCUUUCAGCAGGGAAGAAGCGAGAGUGACGGUACCUGCAGAAGAAGCGCCGGCUAACUACGUGCCAGCAGCCGCGGUAAUACGUAGGGCGCAAGCGUUGUCCGGAAUUAUUGGGCGUAAAGAGCUCGUAGGCGGCUUGUCGCGUCGGAUGUGAAAGCCCGGGGCUUAACCCCGGGUCUGCAUUCGAUACGGGCAGGCUAGAGUGUGGUAGGGGAGAUCGGAAUUCCUGGUGUAGCGGUGAAAUGCGCAGAUAUCAGGAGGAACACCGGUGGCGAAGGCGGAUCUCUGGGCCAUUACUGACGCUGAGGAGCGAAAGCGUGGGGAGCGAACAGGAUUAGAUACCCUGGUAGUCCACGCCGUAAACGUUGGGAACUAGGUGUUGGCGAC